rnacentral:rRNA from 1 species
CGUGAGGGAAAGUUGCAAAGUACUUUGAAGAGAGAGUUAAACAGGGCGUGAAACCGCUAGCUGGUAAACGAGUGGAGCCACGAAGUCGUUUCGUAGAAUAAGGGAUACAAAUUCAGUUGAGGUUAUCGCAAGAUGGCUUUAAUGCAUUUUUGUUUUUCCCUCUAUGUAUGCGUACACUGCAACCAAUUAGACAAUCAAUUGUGGAAACAAUUAGCCGAUAUAGGGAGAAAUCUUUGUAUUAGUUAAUGAAAUGCUUAUAUACUAGCUAUAGGUAGCUUGAUUUAAUCCUUGUGGUUAUCUUGAGUGUAUGAUAUGCUAGUAUGAGAACUACAAUUGAAUACUGAUUGGCACAAUGAAAAUCCAUUCGCAAGAAUGGUAUUUAGAUAACACUACCUGUGUUGUAUGUGUGUACAAGUGUUUAUUAUUAGCGUAAGCUUAAUAGUUUUAAAUUUAGACUAGUAGGCUAUCUUGGAUUUCGGUUCUUGAUGCCUAUUUAGCUUUCUAUCUAAUUGGCUAUUGACUUUGCUAGUAAUGUUAUACUUGCUAUGAUAGCAUAUAUGCAACAAUGGGCAAGUUAUAUUAUUAGCAGUGAGUAGGUCGGCUUUCCACACGACCCGUCUUGAAACACG